AAAUUGAAGAGUUUGAUCAUGGCUCAGAUUGAACGCUGGCGGCAGGCCUAACACAUGCAAGUCGAACGGUAACAGGAAGCAGCUUGCUGCUUUGCUGACGAGUGGCGGACGGGUGAGUAAUGUCUGGGAAACUGCCUGAUGGAGGGGGAUAACUACUGGAAACGGUGGCUAAUACCGCAUAACGUCGCAAGACCAAAGAGGGGGACCUUCGGGCCUCUUGCCAUCAGAUGUGCCCAGAUGGGAUUAGCUUGUUGGUGAGGUAACGGCUCACCAAGGCGACGAUCCCUAGCUGGUCUGAGAGGAUGACCAGCCACACUGGAACUGAGACACGGUCCAGACUCCUACGGGAGGCAGCAGUGGGGAAUAUUGCACAAUGGGCGCAAGCCUGAUGCAGCCAUGCCGCGUGUAUGAAGAAGGCCUUCGGGUUGUAAAGUACUUUCAGCGGGGAGGAAGGUGUUGUGGUUAAUAACCGCAGCAAUUGACGUUACCCGCAGAAGAAGCACCGGCUAACUCCGUGCCAGCAGCCGCGGUAAUACGGAGGGUGCAAGCGUUAAUCGGAAUUACUGGGCGUAAAGCGCACGCAGGCGGUCUGUCAAGUCGGAUGUGAAAUCCCCGGGCUCAACCUGGGAACUGCAUUCGAAACUGGCAGGCUUGAGUCUUGUAGAGGGGGGUAGAAUUCCAGGUGUAGCGGUGAAAUGCGUAGAGAUCUGGAGGAAUACCGGUGGCGAAGGCGGCCCCCUGGACAAAGACUGACGCUCAGGUGCGAAAGCGUGGGGAGCAAACAGGAUUAGAUACCCUGGUAGUCCACGCCGUAAACGAUGUCUACUUGGAGGUUGUGCCCUUGAGGCGUGGCUUCCGGAGCUAACGCGUUAAGUAGACCGCCUGGGGAGUACGGCCGCAAGGUUAAAACUCAAAUGAAUUGACGGGGGCCCGCACAAGCGGUGGAGCAUGUGGUUUAAUUCGAUGCAACGCGAAGAACCUUACCUGGUCUUGACAUCCACAGAACUUUCCAGAGAUGGACUGGUGCCUUCGGGAACUGUGAGACAGGUGCUGCAUGGCUGUCGUCAGCUCGUGUUGUGAAAUGUUGGGUUAAGUCCCGCAACGAGCGCAACCCUUAUCCUUUGUUGCCAGCGGUUAGGCCGGGAACUCAAAGGAGACUGCCAGUGAUAAACUGGAGGAAGGUGGGGAUGACGUCAAGUCAUCAUGGCCCUUACGACCAGGGCUACACACGUGCUACAAUGGCGCAUACAAAGAGAAGCGACCUCGCGAGAGCAAGCGGACCUCAUAAAGUGCGUCGUAGUCCGGAUUGGAGUCUGCAACUCGACUCCAUGAAGUCGGAAUCGCUAGUAAUCGUGGAUCAGAAUGCCACGGUGAAUACGUUCCCGGGCCUUGUACACACCGCCCGUCACACCAUGGGAGUGGGUUGCAAAAGAAGUAGGUAGCUUAACCUUCGGGAGGGCGCUUACCACUUUGUGAUUCAUGACUGGGGUGAAGUCGUAACAAGGUAACCGUAGGGGAACCUGCGGUUGGAUCACCUCCUUACCU
rnacentral:rRNA from 1 species